UACGGGGGGAGCAAGCGUUGUUCGGAUUUACUGGGCGUAAAGGGCGCGUAGGCGGCCACCGCAAGUCAGUUGUGAAAUCUCUGGGCUUAACCCAGAAAGGUCAACUGAUACUGCGGGGCUAGAGUGCAGAAGGGGCAACUGGAAUUCUCGGUGUAGCGGUGAAAUGCGUAGAUAUCGAGAGGAACACCUGCGGCGAAGGCGGGUUGCUGGGCUGACACUGACGCUGAGGCGCGAAAGCUAGGGGAGCGAACGGGAUUAGAAACCCUCGUAGUCC
rnacentral:rRNA from 1 species